CGUGUACUCUUCCGAUCUAGUGACCAUGAGUUCUCAGAAUGCACAGUGGUGGUGCUGAAGUGUGGGAGCUGUGGGGGAGGCCAUGUUGCUGGCAACAGGGAGUGUGAGCACUUCAAGACAGCAUUGAAAGUACAGGAGUAUAGGCAAGUAAAUGUGGG